AUCAGCCGCGGUAAUUCCAGCUCCAAUAGCGUAUAUUAAAGUUGUUGCAGUUAAAAAGCUCGUAGUUGAAUUUCGGGGUCAGUAGGCUGGUCGUGCCCCCGGUACGUACUGGUCUAACUGAUUCCUCCUUCCUGAAGAACCGUAAUGCCAUUAAUUUGGUGUUGCGGGGAAACAGGACUGUUACUUUGAAAAAAUUAGAGUGUUUAAAGCAAGCUAACGCUUGAAUACAUUAGCAUGGAAUAAUGAAAUAGGACGAUCGAUCCUAUUUUGUUGGUUUCUAGGAUUGACGUAAUGAUUAAUAGGGAUAGUUGGGGGCAUUAGUAUUCAAUUGUCAGAGGUGAAAUUCUUGGAUUGGA
rnacentral:rRNA from 1 species